AGAACUAGUUAGUGCGAUUAAGAGGGGACAAGUAUAUCAAUUGGUGGUAGUGCGUUUUUCGAGCUGUUCAGAGUCACAUCUCAUCUUCCUUCUGCAUAAGAAACAUUAUUAAUUGUUUCAUCAAAUUAACGUCGGUAUUGCUGCAAAUGACUACUGUCGAAAGUAGAAAUAAAAGCAGAGGUGAAAGCGGGGUCAGACAGACACUUCGUCUGUAGCUCGAAAAG
rnacentral:lncRNA from 1 species